GAGUUGUUAGCUCAGCUGGUUCAGAGCACUACCUUGACAGGGUAGGGGUCACUGGUUCGAAUCCAGUACAACUCACCA
rnacentral:tRNA from 1 species